AUGGCCUGCGAUGUCGCCGCCGAUGAGCCACCCGCCAUCCCCACCGUACUGGAGCUUCGCGUGCUCGACAAAGCCCCCGCCGUCUGCCCUGUCCAGGAGCCCCGCGCGCCCGACAAGUCCCUCGCCGUCUGCACCGCCCGGGAGCUCCGCGCAGGCGACGCGCCGUCCGCCAUGGGCAGGCCCCCCGAUCUCUGCGCCGGCGACACUGAGCACGCGGCACACGAUAGAAAUGCAUCGGCUCGCACUGGUGAAUUUUGUGUAGGUCACGUUGGAGUAGUGGGUUGGGCAGCAGGGGAUGAGGAUUUUGAUUCAUUGAGCCAGGAAUCUCUAUUUGAUAGAAGUCUGUCUCUGCUAGAGAAAUUGUACAGCAAGUCUGAAUUUGUUAGAUUCAGAGUACCAUAG
rnacentral:rRNA from 1 species